AUUGAACGCUGGCGGCAUGCCUAACACAUGCAAGUCGAGCGGAGUGGCGGACGGGUGGGUAAUGCAUACGUAUCUGCCUGGCAGUGGGGGAUAGCGUACGGAAACGGACGCUAAGACCGCACCCUAAUAGCUGCGCCUAGAUGGGAUUAGCUAGUGGGUGGGGUAAAGGCCUACCAAGGCGACGAUCCGUAACUGGUUUGAGAGGAUGAUCAGUCACACGGGAAUUGAGACACGGCCCAGACUCCUACGGGAGGAAGCAGUGGGGAAUAUUGGACAAUGGGCGAAAGCCGGAUCCAGCCAUGCCGCGUGUGUGAAGAAGGUCUUCGGAUUGUAAAGCACUUUGAGUUGGAAGGCGGUACCAAAAGAAUAAGCACCGGCUAACUUCGUGCCAGCAGCCGCGGUAAUAC
rnacentral:rRNA from 1 species